AUGGCUCAUAAUAAGUUGAGAAGCAGGCUAUGUCCCAAUAGGGCGCUGUUGCCGACCCACUGUGCGACAACUGAUAACGAUAGUGUGAGUGUCGAGAUCGGUUUGUCCGACGUCCACCAUCCCACGAAAGAUAAAGUCAUCUGUCAGAAAGGAGCAUAAAGAUAUAACAACGUGUAGUCGAACUGUUGAGUGGCAAAUAGAUUUAAACCUUUUAUUUAACUAUUAUUUGGAGAUUCACUAUUGAAAAUCUACUGUUGAAUAUUAGAAGAGGGUUAAUCGAUUUCGACUGCCGAGUUGCCGAGAAGAUUAGGUUAUCUGGGUCUGAGAAAAUUAUAGAUUAAUCAUUUGAAUUUUCUGUUGGGAAUUGAUCAUCAUAAAAUCUACCGGGCAAGGAAAGCGUACUGAAAUGUAAGAAAAGCCUAACUAUAUAAUCAUACUAUGUUGCUAAUGGAAAUCAAUAAACUUCUAGCUUUAAGCUGCGCUACAGACAAGCUGCUAAAAGGCGUUAUACCUGUCCUGGUGACGA